GUUUACCUAAGCAAGCCUGGGCAAUGGCGGGCGCCCCUCCCCCAGCCUGGCUGCCGCCUUGCAGUUUGAUCUCAGACUGCUGUGCCAGCAAUCAGCAAGACUCCAUGGGCGUCGUAGGACCCUCUGAGCCAGGAAGUUGCGCUGUACCUGAGAGCACCGAGAUAUAACAUAAGAAGCCAUCUUGGAAUUAAAGUUGUUGAAUGGAAAUGUGGCUUCAGCCUGGCUGUGUAUCACAUCCUUCUGGUUAGGGGCAUUGCUGCAGGAAUCUGUUUAUUCUCAAUUCAAGCCAAUAUGUACUGAUUGCUCUGACCUCCUCUCGUAAACAGGCAUUCUACUGGAACGUGUAAGAUAAUUUUUGCCAUCUGUCAUUUUCUUCUUCUUGAGAAAGGAGGAGAAUUACUGAGAAACAAGAAAAUGACUUUCUUGCAGUUGGGUUAUGGCCAUGUGAAUAAUUCUUGUCAAUGAGAAUGUGAGUGAAACUGAUAUGUAAUUGCUGGUCUGAGGCACUUAAGAAAUAAAGUAAGUUUUCUGUGCUUUCCUAACCUCAUGGCUGGAAGAAAAUUCACAAUGUUUGAGUUGCAAAGUGAACAUCAGCGGAACUGAAUUGUUGAGUCAUCAUUGGAAGAAAGCUACCAAGAAGAGCUAGCUAGUCACAUCAGACAGUACGUUUCUAGAAGAAAAUUCAGGACCUAGAAACAGUUAAUAUAAGUUGUAUCCUUGGGAAUUUCCAAGCAUACCAAAUGACUACCAGGCAAGAGAAUGUUAAGCUAUACCAGACAAUUUAAUCACCUGCAUCCAGGAUAUGAAAUCCAGAAGUUUCAAUACUAUUAGCAGACUCUGACCAUCAGAAUUUUUUUUUUUUUAUACAACUUACAUUUCUCUCAUGAGAGUUUAAGUCUGCUUCCUUGUCUUAUACUCAGGGAAGAUGAAAGGCAGGUAACAUAUCCUGUAAAAUAAUUAACUGUAAGGUUGUUAAGUUAUUCUCCUGCCUUUGCUAUUGCAGUUUAAGUAAACAGUAAAUUAGUUUAAACUUUUCCUACAUCAUUACUUUAGUUAAUGAAUUCUAUUUCUUAGAGCAGUUUUAGAUUGAUAGAAAAAUUAAACAUAGAAUGCAGACAUUUCCCAUCAUCAAUUUAUUUCUAUUUAACUAAAUGGUUAAAAACUCUUAUUCUUUUGAAAACGUCACUAAGGAAUUUAUGUUGUCAAACAAUAAAGCCAUAUUUACUGAUACUGCAUGUAAGGGUUAUGACAACACAAAAGAUGCUGGGAAAAUGGAUGAGCACCUUCAAAUAAUAGUGCAUAAUGAUGUUGGACUAGCUGACAACAUUAAAGUCUGCAAAGGUAAAGGUUAGAAGAGACCUAAUGGCUUCUUCCUCUUUUUUUUUUUUUUUUUUGGCAACGGAGUCUUGCUCUGUCGCCCAGGC
rnacentral:lncRNA from 1 species